GACGAACGCUGGCGGCGUGCCUAACACAUGCAAGUCGAGCGGGGAGGAGGAAGCUUGCUUCCGAAUCCUAGCGGCGGACGGGCGACUAACGCGUGAGCAACCUGCAUCAAACAGGGGGUUAACGCAUCGAAAGAUGUGCUAAUACCGCGUAAGACCACACCACCGCAUGGCGCAGGGGUCAAGAGAGAAAUCCGGUUUGAGAUGGGCCCGGGUCCGAUUAGCUAGGUGGUGAGAUAACAGCCCACCAAGGCGAAGAUCGGUAGCCGACCUGAGAGGGUGAUCGGCUACAUUGGAACUGAGAAACGGUCCAGACUCCUACGGGAGGCAGGAGUGGGGAAUAUUGGGCAAUGGGCGAAAGCCUGACCCAGCAACGCCGCGUGAGGGAAGAAGGGUUUCGGCUCGUAAACCUCUGUCCUAUGGGACGAAGAAGUGACGGUACCAUAGGAGGAAGCCCCGGCUAACUACGUGCCAGCAGCAGCCGCGGUAA
rnacentral:rRNA from 1 species